rnacentral:tRNA from 1 species
GUCGGGAUAGCUCAGCAGG